GACUACGAGAUUGGCGCCUUGAGGCGGCCC
rnacentral:sRNA from 1 species